rnacentral:misc_RNA from 1 species
GAUGAAGAACGUAGCGAAAUGCGAUAAGUAAUGUGAAUUGCAGAAUUCAGUGAAUCAUCGAAUCUUUGAACGCACAUUGCGCCCGCCAGUAUUCUGGCGGGCAUGCCUGUUCGAGCGUCAUUACAACCCUCAGGCCCCCGGGCCUGGCGUUGGGGAUCGGCGGAGCGCCCCCUGCGGGCACACGCCGUCCCCCAAAUACAGUGGCGGUCCCGCCGCAGCUUCCAUUGCGUAGUAGCUAACACCUCGCAACUGGAGAGCGGCGCGGCCACGCCGUAAAACACCCAACUUCUGAAUGUUGACCUCGAAUCAGGUAGGAAUACCCGCUGAACUUAAGCAUAUCAAUAAGCGGAGGA